GACGAACGCUGGCGGCGUGCUUAACACAUGCAAGUCGAACGGAAAGGCCCUGCUUUUGUGGGGCGCUCGAGUGGCGAACGGGUGAGUAACACGUGAGUAACCUGCCCUUGACUUUGGGAUAACUUCAGGAAACUGGGGCUAAUACCGGAUAGGAGCUCCUGCUGCAUGGUGGGGGUUGGAAAGUUUCGGCAGUUGGGGAUGGACUCGCGGCUUAUCAGCUUGUUGGUGGGGUAGUGGCUUACCAAGGCUUUGACGGGUAGCCGGCCUGAGAGGGUGACCGGCCACAUUGGGACUGAGAUACGGCCCAGACUCCUACGGGAGGCAGCAGUGGGGAAUAUUGCACAAUGGGCGGAAGCCUGAUGCAGCAACGCCGCGUGCGGGAUGACGGCCUUCGGGUUGUAAACCGCUUUCGCCUGUGACGAAGCGUGAGUGACGGUAAUGGGUAAAGAAGCACCGGCUAACUACGUG
rnacentral:rRNA from 1 species